rnacentral:rRNA from 1 species
GGUGCAAGCGUUGUUCGGAAUCACUGGGCGUAAAGGGCAUGCAGGCGGAAUGUUAAGUCGGGUGUGAAAACUAUGGGCUCAACCCAUAGCCUGCACUCGAAACUGAUAUUCUGGAGUCUCGGAGAGGUGAGCGGAAUUCCUGGUGUAGCGGUGAAAUGCGUAGAUAUCAGGAGGAAUACCAAUGGCGAAGGCAGCUCACUGGACGGUGACUGACGCUGAUAUGCGAAAGCGUGGGGAGCAAACAGGAUUAGAU